AUAUAAUAUUUGAGAAUAUUAUAUAUAUUUUUUUAAUUGAAUAUAUAUUAUCUUCAUUUUUAUGUGUUUAAAAAAACUGAAGAUUAAAGAAGUCUCUUAUGCUCACCAAGGCUGCGUUUAUUUAAUCAAAAAUACAGUAAAAACAGUAAAAAUUUACUGAUUUAUUUUGAAUAUAUUUUAAAAUGUAAUUUAUUCCUAUAAUGAUAAAGUCGAAUUUUAGCAGUUAUUUCCGUCUUCAUUAUGAUAUGAUCCUUCAGAAAUCAUUUUAAUAUUGUGAUUUGUUGCUCAAGAAACAUUUCUUAUUAUUAUCUAUGUCAGUAUUUUUAUAGGAACUGAGAUAUGUUUUCAGAAUUCUUUGAUGAAUAAAAAAUUUAAUCUUCUGUAAUUAUAAAUGAAUUUACUGCAUCCUGCAUUUAAUUCAUCCUUGCUGAGUAAAAGUAUAAAUUGCUUUAAAAAAUAUUUGUCCUUUUUUUUUUUUUUUUUUUUUACAUAUAAAUUACAGCACACCACAAGCCAAAGUGCACAUGCCUCCAAAAAUAUCUCACAAAAAUCCAUAAAUUUCUUGGUGUUAAGCUUCCCUUCACCCCAAAAGCCUAAAUCUGUCAAAACAUUACUACAGAUCAGUUAAUACACAGAGACCCCCGACUCCCCUCUGCUUCUUUCCAUCUCUCUAUCUGUGAAUAAUCCUCUCCCUCUGUCUGUUUAUAAAGAGUGAAAGUUCCUCAUUAUGAAGACGUGGAGAGUGUGUACACAGAGUGUCGGCUCGACUGAUGAGCUCACACUAAAUAUCUGUUUGUUUGACGAGAGCUUUCAUCUCACUUUUAACUGUCCCGUUCUUUCCUUCACUCCGUCUUCUUUUCUCUUUGAGUUCCUGUUUUUCCUAUUGUGACUUUAACUCUCAAACAUUCGUACUUCCUUAUCACACUUUCUUUACUGCCUUCAUUCCUUCCUCACUUCCUUUUUUCUUUCCUGUCUUCCUUCCAUCCAUACUUACUGUUAAUUCUUCCUCCCUCUUAACUUCCUUUUCUUCCUCACUUUAUUUUUUCCUUCUUGUCUUCUCUCCUUCCAUACUUGCUGUUAAUUCUUCCCAUCUCUUCCUUGUUUCAUUCGUUCAUUGUUUCUUCUUUACUUUUUUCCUUCCUGCCUCCUUUCCUUCAUUUCUUUCCUUCCUUCCUUGCUUCCUUUUCAUUCUUUCAUUCUUUCCUUGCUUCCUCUUUCUUUUUUCUCCCUCCAAAGCUUCAAGGAAAUUAAAUUUCCUCUCAUUCUUUUCUUCCUCAUUAAUUUUUUUCCUUCCCUCCUUGCUUACUUCUUUCCGUACUCCCCUUUUCUUCUUUCAUUGCUUCCUUUUUCUUUUCUCUCGCUUCCUUUCUUCAAGGAAGCUCAUUCUUUCCUUCCAUACGUCCUUAUUUUCUUAUGGUCAUCUUUCCUUCUUCAUUCAUUUCUUACCUUUCUUCUUCUUCCCGCUUUCCUUCUUCAUUCUUUCCUUCCUUGCUUAUCCCCCCCCCCAUUUUUCCUUCUUCUUUCCUUGCUUUCUUUUUCCUUAACUUCCUUUCUUCAAGGAAGUUCAUUCUUUUCUUAAAUACUUCCUUAUUUUCUUAGCGUCUUCUUUCCUUUCCUCUUCAUGCUUUCCUUUUUUCCUUCCUUCCUUGCUUAUUUCCAAAUUCCCUUUUCUUUCUUUCCUUGCUUCCUUUUCUUUCUCCCUCACUUCCCCUCCUCAAGGAAGUUCUUUUUUACUUACACACUUCCUUAUUUUUUUACUGACUUCUUUUCUUCCUCAUUCAUUCCCUUUACCCUUCCUUACUUUUCCACACACCAUUUUUCUUCUUUCCUUGCCUCCUAUUUCUUUCUUCCUUCCUUUCUUAGUUCUUUCCUUCCAUACUUCCUUUCUUCUAUUCUUACGUCUUCUUUACUUCCUCACGUCUUUUGUUUCUGCCUUCUUUGUUUGCUUCCUUAUUCUUCUUAAAUUAAUUUUUCCUUCCUCCCUUCCUCUCCUUUACCUUCUUUUUGCUUUCUUUCACAGGUUUUUUAAAAUUCUAAAAGAACAACUACACACACACACACACAUACAUGAAUUUGAAUCUAGGGCUCAUGUUUAUGAUGUCAUAAUAAAGAGGAGUCAGAUGUUUAUAAAGCCGUGUGUGUUUGGCUGGGCAGCUGUGAGGUGUGUGUGGGUUGGCUCAUGUUUAUGAUGUACUUAUGUCUGCUGGUCGCAGGUUUAUGAUGUAUGCUGCUGCUGUACAGCACUUUAAAGUUUACCGCAGGCUUUAAGACCAGGUGUUAUGUGGUCAAAAGGGAUUCAUGGAGAAAAAAUAUUGUGUUUGGUUUGUGUCUGUAUGAAAUACAAAUGUGUGUCAGCAUAUGUGUGUGUGCUAUGUGUGAAUGCAUACGUGGAUUUAAUGAUAGCACUUACGGGUUUCUCUAACAGAAAAGCUAGAGGGGGUCACGUCAAGAGAGAGAUUGUCUAUACAUAGCAGAACAAUUAAUGUUUAAUUGGUUAUAUGUAUAACAGUAAACACUUAAAGACGGCAUUAAAUGGCAUUCUGAACACAUAUAACUUCCUGUUUUUUUUUAACUUAAAGACAAUAAAACUAAAAAAAAAAAACAUUUACAUUAAGCCACAUUAUUGUUUUAAAAGUUUGGGGUUCUUAAGAUGUUUUUGUUUUUUUAAUGCAUUUAUUUGAUCAAAAAUACAGUAAAAAGUAAUAUUGUGAAAUGUUAUUACAAUUUAAAAUAACUUUUUUUCUGUUUAAAUAUAUUCUAAGAUGUAAUUUAGUUCUGUGAUGGCAAAGCUGAUUUUUUAGCAGCCACUUCUACAUUACAUUUCUUAUUAUUAUCAAUGCUGAAAACAGUUGUGCUGCUUACAGUUUUUGUAGAAAUCAUUAUACUUCAAUGUAAUGCAUCCUUGCCAACAACUCCCUAUCAUGGCCACUGGUUUUACAUAGCUAUCCUUUUUUUAUUCCAGAAAUGUAAAAAAAAAAAAAUAUCCUUUUUUUAUUCCAGAAAUGUAAAAAAAAAUAUAGUCGAAAACAUCAUUGUUUUCUGAUGAAUCAUGCAAAAUAAGCCCAUGAACUUUUUCAAAAGAUAAAAAAGUUUUUUUCUUGGUUGUCCACUCAUUUUAUCAAAAAAAACAACAACCAAAACAAAAUAUUCUCCCUCGCUUUCUUUAAACCCCACUUUGCAUUUUCAGGUCAGGGAUAGCAUAAAAGAACAUUCCCUGAACCUGAACAUACACUCACAUAUAAAUACAUGCUUACAUGCAUAAUGAGGAAAACUGCAGUGGAAUAUUGGAUGUCAUUACAUGCACGUGAAGCCUGAGGCUGUCUGCGACACAGUGUGAUGUGUGUGUCCAGCGUUUUUAGAGUGUAAUCUAAGCGCUGAUCAAAUGCAUGAGUAUAUGUGAGUGUGUGUGUGUGUGUGUGUGUGUGUGUGUGUAGUAGCUGUUUAAAUAUAUUCUAAGAUGUUAAUUUAGUUCUGUGAUGGCAAAGCUGUAUUUUUUAGCAGCCACUUCUACAUUACAUUUCUUAUUAUUAUCAAUGCUGAAAAACAGUUGUGCUGCUUACAGUUUUUGUAGAAAUCAUUAUACUUCAAUGUAAUGCAUCCUUGCCAACAACUCCCUAUCAUGGCCACUGGUUUUACAUAGCUAUCCUUUUUUUAUUCCAGAAAUGUAAAAAAAAAAAAUAUAGUCGAAAACAUCAUUGUUUUCUGAUGAAUCAUGCAAAAUAAGCCCAUGAACUUUUUCAAAAGAUAAAAAAGUUUUUUUCUUGGUUGUCCACUCAUUUUAUCUAAAAAAAAACAACAACCAAUUUGCAUUUUCAGGUCAGGGAUAGCAUAAAAGAACAUUCCCUGAACCUGAACAUACACUCACAUAUAAAUACAUGCUUACAUGCAUAAUGAGGAAAACUAGCAGUGGAAUAUUGGAUGUCAUUACAUGCACGUGAAGCCUGAGGCUGUCUGCGACACAGUGUGAUGUGUGUGUCCAGCGUUUUUAGUAGUGUAAUCUAAGCGCUGAUCAAAUAGCAUGAGUAUAUGUGAGUGUGUGUGUGUGUGUGUGUGUGUGUGUGUGUGUAAGAGCUCUUAAUAGAACCCUGUCGCAGGGCUGCCAGAGUGAGAAACAAGCAGGGUAAUGGAUGACUGGAACCUCAGCUCCCAGAAUUCCCACUGGUGACCCUCGCCGGCCAGCCAUGCCGCCUACGGCAACUCCACAUAAAAAGGGAAGCGGAGAGGAAGGGGAGAGAAAACGAGAACGAAGGAGCGAGGGAAAAAAGACAGAAAAUGUGGGAAUGAAAGAGAGAAACACAAGAGAUAUGUUGACAGUAAAAUGGCCAAAAGGCCUUAAAGCAUGACAAAAAACAUGAUGUAUAUUCACAAAAAGAGAAAAAUGCUAUAAAGGGAGACAAUGAGAGACAAAAGAUAUAAAUAGUGAGAUAUUUUGGGCUGAUAGCAUAUGUGAGCAUGUUAUGUGUUUAUGUGUGUGUCUGUGAUUGAUGACACUGUGUGUUACUAAGAGGGGACCCAUCACAUGUGAUCACAUAAACACUUAUUCAGUGUUUGUGGAGCUUGACGAGGCUGUACACAGCUCUCUCUCUCUGUGGGUGUGUGUGUGUGAUUGAUGAGAGAGUGUGUCAGUAAGUGAUCUUUGAGCCUGACGUGGCUGAACGCUGCUUUGUGUCAUCACAGAUAUCACAAGAGUGAAAAACACACACCAUUAAUCAAGCUUAAUUAACUUACAAACAAAACCCUUUCAGUAAACCUGGGCACAUCCAGGUCGGUUUUAAAAGUGAAACUAACUAUUCUAAAUGCAAUAAUGCAUGUGUAUAUUUGAUUCAGUUUGUCAGAAAUGGACAAACAAACAUAAGAAAUAGUUAAAUUAGCUAGAAAAAAUUGUGGGUAAAAUUGGACAGUUUCGAAAUGAACUACAUUGUCAGGACCAGAAAACAUUUAAUAAAUAUACUAAAUCAUGAAAAUCUAAAAAUCAUUGUAUAUCAAAAAUAUAAUAAGCUCAGUAUAAAAACAAUGGUAAUCAAAUAAAUGUCUCCAUCCUCAUGUGCCUCUGUCUAACUCUCUGACCCCGUCUCGCUCUUUUUUAUAUUUCCGUGGAUGAGUUGAUAUCUAAAUAAUGAUGAGCCAUGGAGCAAUACGGAAUUUGUAUCUAGGGAGAGUGAUCAGUAAAUGAUGCAUGUAAAUCCACAUAAUGAACUCAAACCCCUCAAAGAGACAUCUUAAAGACAUUACCAUCCCCUGCACACACACACACACACACACACAUCUAUCACUGUUCACCCAGGGCUGUCAGACAUUCAGUGUCGAGUCUGAGUGCUCAGUAAUUGUUGCUUUGAUAGAAGAGCAGCUGUUUUACAGAGAACAGAGUUUGAAAAAAAGCAUCAGUGCAUAUUGAAGUCGCCAUAUUGUAGAGUUUAAGUUAGUCAGGGUGUCUUGCACCAAAACAGCCAUAACUCUCUCAGACUCUUAGCAAUAAACAGGCCGUUUUUGACUUCUAAAUGUAAAAUGUCUAU
rnacentral:lncRNA from 1 species